ACUUUUUAAAAUUUGAUGUGGUUUUUUCUAUCAACUAACCUUCAACCAUUACUUUAAAGAUAUUCUUCCACCAUUACGGCUUCAAUAUGUAAGGAUAUUCAAACCUAGUCGUGUCAGUUAUGUUUCCCACAUAAUGAUCCAUUAAGAUAGCCUUGUCCAAAAGUCCACUAGGUUUCCCUUGAUUCAAACGGACAUCACCAUGUUCUGUGCAUUUAUUUGAAGAAUUAAAUGCUUCAUGCUAAUUAUUGAUAUUAAAUAGUCAAGUCUGGUGGGGGUAAGGGCCUAACCUUAUUCCUCAACCCAUAACCAAAUUUGAUAAAUCAAAGGGUUUUGAUUAGAAAUUGGACUUGAAAGAAGGAAGAGGAAGACGAGAGUUUGACUCCAAGAAAUAACAAGAAAAACACACUCAACCAAGGUUUAUUCCAUCUCUUCGAUCCCAUUCCUCGCUGAAAAUUGUCGCUAGUAGCUGUGAGAGAAACCAUCGCUGCCCCUCCGUGCCAAAAAGAAAAAGAGGUCGUACUCAAAUGCCAAGUGUACAUGGAAGAAAGGAGAAUGAUGAGCUUCGAAUGGAGAAUAGGCCGGUAGAUGUUUGAGAGUCUCACUUUAAGGAUCUUGAAUAUUGGAACUUCGAUCACCACAAGGUGGAGUAGAUCAAGAAAUAGAAGAUGAAGGCAGUGAAGAUCUAGACCUUACUUAAGAUGAAUUUUUAAUUGCUAUAAUUGAAUGUUUAGGAAUCUUUUGUUGUCAAUAUUUUGAAAUUUACCAUCUUGAAAUGUAUUAAACUUAUGCACUUAGGGUAGAACAUUUGCUUUUAUGGAACUUAUUAGCUUGU